GCAAGUAUCCGCGUUCCAGUGCGUAUGCCCUGGGCACCCUGNAUUCAGGUCAAUAGGAGCGGGCAUCAGGCACACCNNNCAUCGUAGCCCAAGACGCCUAGCAAUUGCCACACCCCCACGGGUAAUCAGCAGUAGUUAAUAUUAAGCCAUGAGUGUAAACUUGACUUAGUCAUAGCAAAUUAGGGUCGGUAAAUCCUGUGCCAGCCACCGCGGUCAGACAGGAGACCCAAAUUAACAGUGCAACGGCGUAAAGUGUGGUCACAUGCUAUCCAAGUAACUAAGAUUAAAAAGCAACUGAGCUGUCAUAAGCCCAAGAUGCUCAUAAGGCCGCUAUUCAAAGAAGAUCUUAGACUAACGAUUGAUUGAAGUCCACGAAAGCCAGGGCCCAAACUGGGAUUAGAUACCCCACUAUGCCUGGCCCUAAAUCUUGAUGCUCGAUCUUACUGGAGCAUCCGCCUGAGAACUAUGAGCGCAAACGCUUAAAACUCUAAGGACUUGGCGGUGUCCCAAACCCACCUAGAGGAGCCUGUUCUAUAACCGAUGAUCCACGAUACACCUUACCAUUCCUUGCCCGAAUCAGCCUAUAUACCGCCGUCGCCAGCCCACCCAACCUGAAGGAUCAACAGUGGACGCAAUAGCCCUACCACGCUAAUACGACAGGUCGAGGUAUAGCCCAUGGAAUGGGAGUAAUGGGCUACAUUUUCUAGAAUAGAACAUCACAGCAUAGGGAUGUGAAAUCAUCCUUUGAAGGCGGAUUUAGCAGUAAAGAGAGAAAAUCGAGCCCUCUUUAAGACGGCCCUGGGGCACGUACAUACCGCCCGUCACCCUCCUCAAAGGCGA
rnacentral:rRNA from 1 species